rnacentral:rRNA from 1 species
AGUGAACGCUGGCGGUAGGCCUAACACAUGCAAGUCGAACGGCAGCACAGUAAGAGCUUGCUCUUACGGGUGGCGAGUGGCGGACGGGUGAGGAAUACAUCGGAAUCUACUUUUUCGUGGGGGAUAACGUAGGGAAACUUACGCUAAUACCGCAUACGACCUACGGGUGAAAGCAGGGGAUCUUCGGACCUUGCGCGAUUGAACUAGCCGAUGUCGGAUUAGCUAGUUGGCGGGGUAAAGGCCCACCAAGGCGACGAUCCGUAGCUGGUCUGAGAGGAUGAUCAGCCACACUGGAACUGAGACACGGUCCAGACUCCUACGGGAGGCAGCAGUGGGGAAUAUUGGACAAUGGGCGCAAGCCUGAUCCAGCCAUACCGCGUGGGUGAAGAAGGCCUUCGGGUUGUAAAGCCCUUUUGUUGGGAAAGAAAAGCAGCAGGUUAAUACCCCGCUGUUCUGACGGUACCCAAAGAAUAAGCACCGGCUAACUUCGUG